rnacentral:rRNA from 1 species
GACGAACGCUGGCGGCGUGCUUAACACAUGCAAGUCGAACGCUGAAGCCUAGCUUGCUGGGUGGAUGAGUGGCGAACGGGUGAGUAACACGUGAGUAACCUGCCCUCUUCUUUGGGAUAACGCCCGGAAACGGGUGCUAAUACUGGAUAUUCACUGAUCUUCGCAUGGGGGUUGGUGGAAAGGUUUUUUCUGGUGGGGGAUGGGCUCGCGGCCUAUCAGCUUGUUGGUGGGGUGAUGGCCUACCAAGGCUUUGACGGGUAGCCGGCCUGAGAGGGUGACCGGUCACAUUGGGACUGAGAUACGGCCCAGACUCCUACGGGAGGCAGCAGUGGGGAAUAUUGCACAAUGGGCGAAAGCCUGAUGCAGCGACGCCGCGUGAGGGAUGGAGGCCUUCGGGUUGUAAACCUCUUUCGUUCAUGGUCAAGCCGCAGCUUUGGGUUGUGGUGAGGGUAGUGGGUAAAGAAGCGCCGGCUAACUACGUGCCAGCAGCCGCGGUAAUACGUAGGGCGCGAGCGUUGUCCGGAAUUAUUGGGCGUAAAGGGCUUGUAGGCGGUUGGUCGCGUCUGCCGUGAAAUCCUCUGGCUUAACUGGGGGCGUGCGGUGGGUACGGGCUGACUUGAGUGCGGUAGGGGAGACUGGAACUCCUGGUGUAGCGGUGGAAUGCGCAGAUAUCAGGAAGAACACCGGUGGCGAAGGCGGGUCUCUGGGCCGUUACUGACGCUGAGGAGCGAAAGCGUGGGGAGCGAACAGG